GACCCUAUAGCUCAGUUGGUAGAGUGUCCUAGAUAUUAUGGGAAGGUCCUAGGUUCAAAUCCUAGAUGUGAGA
rnacentral:tRNA from 1 species